rnacentral:rRNA from 1 species
GUAGGUGGCAAGCGUUGUCCGGAAUUAUUGGGCGUAAAGCGCGCGCAGGCGGUUCUUUAAGUCUGAUGUGAAAGCCCACGGCUCAACCGUGGAGGGUCAUUGGAAACUGGAGAACUUGAGUACAGAAGAGGAAAGCGGAAUUCCACGUGUAGCGGUGAAAUGCGUAGAGAUGUGGAGGAACACCAGUGGCGAAGGCGGCUUUCUGGUCUGUAACUGGCGCUGAGGCGCGAAAGCGUGGGGAGCAAACAGGGAUUAGAUACCCUGGUAGUCCACGCCGUAAACGAUGAGUGCUAAGUGUUAGGGGGUUUCCGCCCCCUUAGUGCUGCAGCUAACGCAUUAAGCACUCCGCCUGGGGAGUACGGCCGCAAGGCUG